rnacentral:rRNA from 1 species
AACGAACGCUGGCGGCAGGCCUAACACAUGCAAGUCGAACGCCCUAGCAAUAGGGAGUGGCAGACGGGUGAGUAACACGUGGGAACCUUCCCUAUAGUACGGAAUAGCCCCGGGAAACUUGGCGCAAUACCGUAUACGCCCGACAGGGGAAAGAUUUAUCGCUAUAGGAUGGGCCCGCGUCGGAUUAGCUAGUUGGUGAGGUAAUGGCUCACCAAGGCAACGAUCCGUAGCUGGUUUGAGAGAAUGACCAGCCACACUGGGACUGAGACACGGCCCAGACUCCUACGGGAGGCAGCAGUGGGGAAUCUUGGACAAUGGGCGCAAGCCUGAUCCAGCCAUGCCGCGUGAGUGAUGAAGGCCUUAGGGUUGUAAAGCUCUUUUGGCGGGGACGAUAAUGACGGUACCCGCAGAAUAAGUCCCGGCUAACUUCGUGCCAGCCGCCGCCGCGG